CCUCUUGGUUCUGCAGAGUCGCUUGGGUCUUCCCGUCUGCCCUGUUCUAUAUCCUGCGCCAGGCGGGCUUCGGAACCAGCCGCUCCUGGAUGGGGAGUCGGCUUUGCAACCUUGGGCAGGUUACUUAGCCUCGGUGUGCCACCUCAGCUGCUCCCUCUGUGAAAUGGGAAUCACGCCCCCAGCUCUGCUGGAGAUGAGCAAAGAUGCACCGACCUGGAGGAGACGGCCACCACCUCCCUUGUUUCCUGGCCAGCGCCUGUGACUGGCCCCACCCGCAGCCUCACCUGGACCAUCCCAACACGGUCUCUGCCUAAUGCAAGCUAACCAACCGUUCCGAUUUUCCCAGGACUAAGAGGGUUCCUGGCAUAUAGGACUUCUGGUUUUCAGAGACAAUUUCAGUUAAAUAAGGACCAGUCACCCCAGAUAGUGAUGCAUGGAUUACAUUUCUACGAGUGACUGCCUGUUUUAAGGACUGAAGAGUGCAAAGGCUCCCUAGCACCCUUUGGGUCAUCUCAAGCCUCUGGCUUCAAGGAUGAAGGCUGGGUAGGGGGUAAGCAAAGGGCAAAGCAAGCGAAGGCAGUGGACUGACAUGCACAGCAUUGAAAUGUCGCUCCACACCUCCAUGUAGCCCAUAUCCUCAGUCUCUGGACCACCUAAGUCCAUGCUUCUCCCACCAUGUGACAGCCACUCCCACCGCCCAGCUCUGCCCAGCCAUGCCAUUCCCCAGAGCACUCUUCUUCCUGAUCCUCGGUAUCUGGAGGCUGGCUUGCGAGGAGAGCUCCGCCUCUUCUUUCCUGCAUUGGAAGCCAUUGGGCGAUGACACAAUUCUGGGACCCCUGCAGCCAUCAUCACGUGACCGUGGGCUGGGAGUGGGUGGUGAGGAAGGAGGAAGAGAAGAUACAGAGACACCAACUCAGACCUGUCAUGGUCGAGUUACUACACCAAUCAUCUGCUUCAGAUGUCUCGUUACAGGGGAAAAAAUAGGCUCCUCAAAGAAGUCAGCAUAACGGGCAUCCCGUGGCCUGUAGCUGAAAGCUCCCGAUAGAGAAGCAAGCUUGAAACCCGGCAGCAGAGAAAACCGUGAGAGGACGUUUAGACUUUCACCCUGUCUUCAGGCGGGAUGCCUGUCUAACCUAACCUGGACGUAUGUGCACCUGAGCUCUCCAACACAGGAAAUUCACGAGCUUCCUGCCUCUUCCUCUAUCUAGCACUUCUUCCUCAUCAUCCUGCAGGAUGACUCAUCUUGCAGCUGGAGGGCCUUGGGGCCACCCCCACGGGACCUUCCAGCAAAGGGGGCCAGCCUGUCACCUCAAGUCCCUUCCUUUGGUGUGGGAUGGUGGUCAAGAGAGGGAGCCCUAGAGUCCUGUUCUAUAUCCUAGACUAGUUACUUAACCUUUCUACGCCUCAGUUUCUUCAUCUGCCAUAGGGAUAAUAGGGCCUAGAUUGCAAGGUUAUUGUGGAUGAAAUGUCAAGUGCAUCUGACAUGGUGUCAUGGGUCCCCGAGACCACCUUCAAGUUCGGUGAUUCACUAGCACUACUCGCCCGGCCCGGAGCACUACUACUGGCCCAGAGCACCUCCAUGGCUGACCUUACUCAGUCUCUAGCCCCUCCAGAGGUCAAGCUGAUACAGCCUGGCCCAGCGGCCCCGCCAUGGAUCAUCUUGCUAGCGUGAACUAUCUGACUCGGCCCAAGGCCCCAGAUAAACAAAGACAGUCUUAUCAGACAGCAUAUUGCAAGGACUUAGAGGUUAUCGGCCAGGAGCCGGUCAGGGGCCAGACCUUUCUUUUAACAUGAGAGAUUUCAGCAUCCCGCACCUGCUGCACUGUGCCUUUACUGCACAGGCACACAAACAGCACCCAAUGUGGUUUUUUUCUUAUGUGGGACUGAAACCAGCUAGCUUCAGACUAGCAUCUAUCUUUGGUGGCUAGUACUGUCCCAGAGAACUUUCCAUUCCAACCCUUCUCUUACUAGUUGGGGGGCACCCUUACUCCGCAUUCCUCUUUCAUU
ensembl:lncRNA